rnacentral:rRNA from 1 species
GACGUAGGGCGCGAGCGUUGUCCGGAUUUAUUGGGCGUAAAGAGCGUGUAGGCGGCCUUACAGGUCAGCUGUGAAAACUCGAGGCUCAACCUCGAGACGUCGGUUGAAACCGUAAGGCUAGAGUCCGGAAGAGGAGAGUGGAACUCCCGGUGUAGCGGUGAAAUGCGCAGAUAUCGGGAAGAACACCCGUGGCGAAGGCGGCUCUCUGGGACGGUACUGACGCUGAGACGCGAAAGCGUGGGGAGCGAACAGG